GUCCACGCCGUAAACGAUGGGUGCUAGGUGUGGGGGGUGUCGACUCCCUCCGUGCCGCAGCUAACGCAUUAAGCACCCCGCCUGGGGAGUACGGCCGCAAGGCUAAAACUCAAAGGAAUUGACGGGGACCCGCACAAGCAGCGGAGCAUGUGGUUUAAUUCGAUGCAACGCGAAGAACCUUACCAGGGCUUGACAUGCACUGGAAAACCGUAGAAAUACGGUCCUCCUUCGGGAUCAGUGCACAGGUGGUGCAUGGCUGUCGU
rnacentral:rRNA from 1 species